AGUGGCGCGUGCUACCAUGCAAGUCGAACGAUGAUGCCCAGCUUGCUGGGCGGAUUAGUGGCGAACGGGUGAGUAAUACGUGAGUAACCUGCCCUUGACUCUGGGAUAAGCCUGGGAAACUGGGUCUAAUACUGGAUACUACCGUCCACCGCAUGGUGGGUGGUGGAAAGGGUUUUACUGGUUUUGGAUGGGCUCACGGCCUAUCAGCUUGUUGGUGGGGUAAUGGCUCACCAAGGCGACGACGGGUAGCCGGCCUGAGAGGGUGACCGGCCACACUGGGACUGAGACACGGCCCAGACUCCUACGGGAGGCAGCAGUGGGGAAUAUUGCACAAUGGGCGGAAGCCUGAUGCAGCGACGCCGCGUGAGGGAUGACGGCCUUCGGGUUGUAAACCUCUUUCAGUAGGGAAGAAGCGAGAGUGACGGUACCUGCAGAAGAAGCGCCGGCUAACUACGUGCCAGCAGCCGCGGUAAUACGUAGGGCGCAAGCGUUGUCCGGAAUUAUUGGGCGUAAAGAGCUCGUAGGCGGUUUGUCGCGUCUGCUGUGAAAGCCCGGGGCUCAACCCCGGGUCUGCAGUGGGUACGGGCAGACUAGAGUGCAGUAGGGGAGACUGGAAUUCCUGGUGUAGCGGUGAAAUGCGCAGAUAUCAGGAGGAACACCGAUGGCGAAGGCAGGUCUCUGGGCUGUUACUGACGCUGAGGAGCGAAAGCAUGGGGAGCGAACAGGAUUAGAUACCCUGGUAGUCCAUGCCGUAAACGUUGGGCACUAGGUGUGGGGGACAUUCCACGUUUUCCGCGCCGUAGCUAACGCAUUAAGUGCCCCGCCUGGGGAGUACGGCCGCAAGGCUAAAACUCAAAGGAAUUGACGGGGGCCCGCACAAGCGGCGGAGCAUGCGGAUUAAUUCGAUGCAACGCGAAGAACCUUACCAAGGCUUGACAUUCACCGGACCGCCCCAGAGAUGGGGUUUCCCUUCGGGGCUGGUGGACAGGUGGUGCAUGGUUGUCGUCAGCUCGUGUCGUGAGAUGUUGGGUUAAGUCCCGCAACGAGCGCAACCCUCGUUCUAUGUUGCCAGCACGUGAUGGUGGGGACUCAUAGGAGACUGCCGGGGUCAACUCGGAGGAAGGUGGGGAUGACGUCAAAUCAUCAUGCCCCUUAUGUCUUGGGCUUCACGCAUGCUACAAUGGCCGGUACAAAGGGUUGCGAUACUGUGAGGUGGAGCUAAUCCCAAAAAGCCGGUCUCAGUUCGGAUUGAGGUCUGCAACUCGACCUCAUGAAGUCGGAGU
rnacentral:rRNA from 1 species